rnacentral:rRNA from 1 species
AGGAAUAUUGGUCAAUGGACGAGAGUCUGAACCAGCCAAGUAGCGUGAAGGAUGAAGGUCCUACGGAUUGUAAACUUCUUUUAUAAGGGAAUAAAGUGCGUUACGUGUAAUGUUUUGUAUGUACCUUAUGAAUAAGCAUCGGCUAAUUCCGUGCCAGCAGCCGCGGUAAUACGGAAGAUGCGAGCGUUAUCCGGAUUUAUUGGGUUUAAAGGGAGCGUAGGCGGGCUUUUAAGUCAGCGGUCAAAUGUCACGGCUCAACCGUGGCCAGCCGUUGAAACUGCAAGCCUUGAGUCUGCACAGGGCACAUGGAAUUCGUGGUGUAGCGGUGAAAUGCUUAGAUAUCACGAAGAACUCCGAUCGCGAAGGCAUUGUGCCGGGGCAGCACUGACGCUGAGGCUCGAAAGUGCGGGUAUCAAACAGGAUUAGAUACCCUGGUAGUCCGCACGGUAAACGAUGAAUGCUCGCUAUGGGCGAUACAAUGUCCGUGGCCAAGCGAAAGCGUUAAGCAUUCCACCUGGGGAGUACGCCGGCAACGGUGAAACUCAAAGGAAUUGACGGGGGCCCGCACAAGCGGAGGAACAUGUGGUUUAAUUCGAUGAUACGCGAGGAACCUUACCCGGGCUUGAAUUGCAGGUGGAUGAGUCAGAGAUGAUUCUUUCCUUCGGGACUCCUGUGAAGGUGCUGCAUGGUUGUCGUCAGCUCGUGCCGUGAGGUGUCGGCUUAAGUGCCAUAACGAGCGCAACCCUUCUCCCCAGUUGCCAUCGGGUAAUGCCGGGCCCUCUGGGGACACUGCCAUCGUAAGAUGCGAGGAAGGUGGGGAUGACGUCAAAUCAGCACGGCCCUUACGUCCGGGGCUACACACGUGUUACAAUGGGGGGUACAGAGGGCCGCUGUCCGGUGACGGUCGGCCAAUCCCUAAAACCCCUCUCAGUUCGGACUGGAGUCUGCAACCCGACUCCACGAAGCUGGAUUCGCUAGUAAUCGCGCAUCAGCCAUGGCGCGGUGAAUACGUUCCCG